GCUGGCGACCAUAGCAAGAGUGAACCACCUGAUCCCUUCCCGAACUCAGAAGUGAAACCUCUUAGCGCUGAUGGUAGUGUGGGUUACCCAUGUGAGAAAGUCAUCGCCAGCU
rnacentral:rRNA from 1 species